rnacentral:tRNA from 1 species
GGCUCUCUGGGCGCAAUGGAUAGCGCAUUGGACUUCUAGGUUCAACAUUGGAGUUAUUCAAAGGUUGUGGGUUCAAGUCCCUCCAGAGUCA